AGUAAGAUUGCUGGAGUGCAUGGUAAGAAUGUAUUAAAUUUUAUAAAAAACUGACAACACACUUUCCAAAGUGUCUGUGCCAUUUUGCAUUCCCACCAGUAAU
rnacentral:pre_miRNA from 1 species